rnacentral:rRNA from 1 species
AUUGAACGCUGGCGGCAGGCCUAACACAUGCAAGUCGAGCGAGCGUCGGACGGGUGAGUAAUGUAUGGGGACUGCCCGAUAGAGGGGGAUAACUACUGGAAACGGUAGCUAAUACCGCAUACUAUCGGAUAACCCAUAUGGGAUUAGCUAGUAGGUGAGGUAAUGGCUCACCUAGGCGACGAUCCCUAGCUGGUCUGCGAGGAUGAUCAGCAACACUGGGACUGAGAACAGGCCCAGACUCUUACGGGGGGAGCAGUGGGGAAGAUUGCACAAUGGGUGAAAGCCUGAUGCAGCCAUGCCGGGGGUAGGAAGAAGGCUUUCGGGUUGUAAAGUAAUUUCAGCGGGGAGGCGUUACCGACAGAAGAAGCACCGGCUAACUCCGUGCCAGCAGCCGCGGUAAUAC